rnacentral:rRNA from 1 species
UACAGAGGUCUCAAGCGUUUGUUCGGAUUCAUUGGGCGUAAAGGGUGCGUAGGCGGCGCGGUAAGUCGGGUGUGAAAUCUCGGAGCUUAACUCCGAAACUGCAUUCGAUACUGCCGUGCUUGAGGACUGGAGAGGAGACUGGUAAUUUACGGUGUAGCGGUGAAAUGCGUAGAUAUCGUAAGGAAGACCAGUGGCGAAGGCGGGUCUCUGGACAGUUCCUGACGCUGAGGCACGAAGGUCAGGGGGAGCAAAACGGGG